UGAGUAACUGCGCUCCUGAGCUGUUGUACCGGUUUUCCAUGGUUUGCUUUAAUCGGCAGGCUGUGGUGGCUGGGUGUGUUUACCUUGAAUAAAUCAAAAUGCUCAGGAUAGCGUCUCCGCCUGAAUGACAGUGCAUGGAAUAAUGGGAAUAAGACUUCGGGUUUAUUCUGUGGUCUUGGCACCGAUGUAAUGGUAGAGGGAACUGACCGGGGCAUUGUAUCCGAUGCUGAUGAGGUGAAAUUCUGGGACCGCAUCGAGACAAACUACUGCGAAAGCAUUGGCCAAGAAUGUCUUCAUUAAUCAAGAACGAAAGUCAGAGGAUCGAAGGCGAUUAGAUACCGCCCUAGUUCUGACCGUAAACGAUGCCAACUAGCGAUCAGGCGGUGGCUAUUAAACCCUGCCUGGGAGCUUCCCGGAAACGAAAGUUUUCGGGUUCCGGGGGUAGUAUGGUUGCAAAGCUGAAACUUAAAGGAAUUGACGGAAGGGCACCACCAGGAGUGGAGCCGCGGCUUAAUUUGACUCAACACGGGAAAACUCACCCGGCCCGGACACUGUAAUGAUUGACAGAUUGAGAGUUCUUUCUUGAUUCGGUGGUUGGUGGUGCAUGGCCGUUCUUAGUUGGUGGAGUGAUUUGUCUGGUUUAUUCCGAUAACGAACGAGACUCUAACCUGCUAAAUAGUUCUGCAGUAGCUUCGCUGCAGCAACUUCUUAGAGGGAUCAGUGG
rnacentral:rRNA from 1 species